rnacentral:rRNA from 1 species
GAUUAACGCUGGCGGCAGGCCUAACACAUGCAAGUCGAGCGGAGCGGCGGACGGGUGAGUAAUGCCUAGGAAUCUGCCUGGUAGUGGGGGAUAACGUCCGGAAACGGGCGCUAAUACCGCAUACUAUCAGAUGAGCCUAGGUCGGGUUAGCUAGUUGGGGGGGUAAAGGCCUACCAAGGCGACGAUCCGUCACUGGUCUGAGAGGAUGAUCAGUCACCUUGGAACUUGGACAGGGUCCAGAUUCCUACGGGAGGCAGCAGUGGGGAAUAUUGGACAAUGGGCGAAAGCCUGAUCCCGCCAUGCCGCGUGUGUGAAGAAGGUCUUCGGAUUGUAAAGCACUUUAAGUUGGGAGGCGUUACCAACAGAAUAAGCACCGGCUAACUUCGUGCCAGCCGCCGCGGUAAUUC